rnacentral:sRNA from 1 species
ACGCGGCAGUAAUUUUCCUUUGAGGGCGUAGAGACUUUGUGUUUCACAGCAAUAAAAGGUUUCGACACAGCCCCAACUGCUGGUACCUGAGAAACUGGACUAUCCACACCUGGAUUAGGCAGUGUCUAAAAUAUGAUGCACAAGACAAAGCCCUAUAUACCCUUGUAAAUAAGGUUCAAUAUGGAAUUUUUCCAGAUAACUUUACAUUCAAUUUACUGAUGGAUUCUUUCAUAAAGAAAGAAAAUUACAAAGAUGCUUUAUCUGUGGUUUUUGAGGUCAUGAUGCAAGAAGCCUUUGAAGUGCCUUCCACCCAACUUCUCUCCCUCUAUGUUUUAUUUCAUUGCCUGGCAAAGAAGACAGACUUCAGUUGGGAAGAGGAGAGGAACUUUGGUGCAUCCCUAUUGCUUCCAGGCCUAAAACAAAAGAACUCAGUGGGUUUCAGUUCCCAGUUGUAUGGCUAUGCACUUCUUGGGAAGGUGGAGUUGCAGCAAGGGCUACGGGCUGUGUACCACAACAUGCCUCUGAUAUGGAAACCAGGCUACCUUGACAGAGCCCUUCAAGUGAUGGAGAAAGUGGCU